ACGACAGUAUCGGGGCGGUGGGUGUCACCGAGGAAGUGGGUGGAGCGUGAGAAGUCGCCGGCGAGUGAGAAGUGAGUGAUGAGAGUAGAGGAGAGAAAUGGGUCGAGAACGGAGCCUGAUUUGAUGAAGAGGGCAUAGGUUGUGUCUGUGAGGUGUGGGUUUUGGAGAGAGAGAGACACUUUUAGGGCUUGGGGGUAGAGAUUUUGGUGAAUUAGGG
rnacentral:lncRNA from 1 species